AUUGAACGCUGGCGGCAGGCCUAACACAUGCAAGUCGAACGAGUGGCGGACGGGAGAGUAAUGUAUGGGAAACUGCCCGAUGGAGGGGGAUAACUGCUGGAAACGGUCGCUAAUAACGCCAACCCUCGGAUGCGCCCAGAUGGGAGUGGCUAGUAGGUGGGGUAACGGCUCACCUAGGCGACGAUCCCUAGCUGGUCUGAGAGGAUGACCAGCCACACUGGAACUGAGACACGGUCCAGACUCCUACGGGAGGCAGCAGUGGGGAAUAUUGCACAAUGGGCGCAAGCCUGAUGCAGCCAUGCCGCGUGUAUGAAGAAGGCCUUCGGGUUGUAAAGUACUUUCAGCGAGGAGGCGUUACUCGCAGAAGAAGCACCGGCUAACUCCGUGCCAGCAGCCGCGGUAAUUC
rnacentral:rRNA from 1 species